rnacentral:rRNA from 1 species
UAAUGGCCUACCAAGUCUACGAUCUAUAGCUGGUUUUAGAGGAUGAUCAGCAACACUGGGACUGAGACACGGCCCAGACUCCUACGGGAGGCAGCAGUGGGGAAUCUUAGACAAUGGGCGCAAGCCUGAUCUAGCCAUGCCGCGUGUGUGAUGAAGGUCUUAGGAUCGUAAAGCACUUUCGCCAGGGAUGAUAAUGACAGUACCUGGUAAAGAAACCCCGGCUAACUCCGUGCCAGCAGCCGCGGUAAUACGGAGGGGGUUAGCGUUGUUCGGAAUUACUGGGCGUAAAGCGUACGUAGGCGGAUUGGAAAGUUGGGGGUGAAAUCCCAGGGCUCAACCCUGGAACUGCCUCCAAAACUAUCAGUCUAGAGUUCGAGAGAGGUGAGUGGAAUUCCAAGUGUAGAGGUGAAAUUCGUAGAUAUUUGGAGGAACACCAGUGGCGAAGGCGGCUCACUGGCUCGAUACUGACGCUGAGGUACGAAAGUGUGGGGAGCAAACAG